rnacentral:rRNA from 1 species
GACGAACGCUGGCGGCGUGCUUAACACAUGCAAGUCGUACGGUAAGGCCCUUUCGGGGGUACACGAGUGGCGAACGGGUGCGUAACACGUGCGUAACCUGCCCACAACUUUGGGAUAACGCUAGGAAACUGGUGCUAAUACUGGAUAUGUGCUCCUGCUGCAUGGUGGGGGUUGGAAAGCUCCGGGGGUUGUGGAUGGACUCGCGGGCUAUAAGCUUGUCGGUGGGGUUAUGGCCUACCAAAGCGGCGGAGGGUAGCCGGCCUGAGAGGGUGACCGGCCACACUGGGUCCGAGAUGCGGCCCAGACUCCUACGGGAGGCAACAGUGCGAAAGAUUGCACAAGCGGCGCCAGCCGGAUGCAGCAGCGCCUCGGGCGGGAUGACGGUCUUCGGGUUGUAAACCGCUUUCAGCAGGGACGAAGCUUUUUGUGACGGUACCUGCAGAAGAAGCACCGGCUAACUACGUG